rnacentral:rRNA from 1 species
GUGGGGAAUCUUCCGCAAUGGACGAAAGUCUGACGGAGCAACGCCGCGUGAGUGAAGAAGGUUUUCGGAUCGUAAAGCUCUUUCGUUAGGGACGAACGUGCUCUUUGUGAAUAAUGAGGAGUAAUGACGGUACCUAAAUAAGAAGCCACGGCUAACUACGUGCCAGCAGCCGCGGUAAUACGUAGGUGGCAAGCGUUGUCCGGAAUUAUUGGGCGUAAAGCGCGCGCAGGCGGGAUAUCAAGUCUGUCUUAAAAGUGCGAGGCUCAACCUCGUGAGGGGACGGAAACUGGUAUUCUUGAGUGUCGGAGAGGAAAGUGGAAUUCCAAGGGUAGCGGUGAAAUGCGUAGAGAUUUGGAAGAACACCAGUGGCGAAGGCGACUUUCUGGACGAUGUCUGACGCUGAGGCGCGAAAGCUAGGGGAGCGAACGGGAUUAGAAACCCCUGUAGUCC